AGGUUUUGAGUUGGCUCCAAUUUAUAGUUUGCAAUUAUAAGAAAUAUAUUAUAUAGAACCUA
rnacentral:tRNA from 1 species